rnacentral:rRNA from 1 species
GACGAACCGUGCAAACGUUGUUCGGAAUCACUGGGCUUAAAGGGCGCGUAGGCGGGCCAGCCAGUCUGUGGUGAAAGCCUCCAGCUUAACUGGAGAAGUGCCGUGGAUACUGCUGGCCUCGAGGAGGGUAGGGGCAUCUGGAACGGUCGGUGGAGCGGUGAAAUGCGUUGAUAUCGACCGGAACUCCGGUGGCGAAGGCGAGGUGCUGGGCCCUUUCUGACGCUGAGUGCGCGAAAGCCAGGGGAGCAAACAGG